rnacentral:rRNA from 1 species
GACGUAGGGGACGAGCGUUGUCCGGAUUCAUUGGGCGUAAAGCGCGCGUAGGCGGCUCGGAAAGUCGGUCGUGAAAUGCCGGGGCUCAACCCCGGGACUGCGUCCGAUACUUCCGGGCUGGAGGUAGGUAGGGGAGAUCGGAAUUCCUGGUGUAGCGGUGAAAUGCGCAGAUAUCAGGAGGAACACCGGUGGCGAAGGCGGAUCUCUGGGCCUUACCUGACGCUGAGGCGCGAAAGCUAGGGGAGCGAACAGG